rnacentral:rRNA from 1 species
GGUUGACCUCGGAUCAGGUAGGGAUACCCGCUGAACUUAAGCAUAUCAAUAAGCGGAGGAAAAGAAACCAACAGGGAUUGCCUCAGUAACGGCGAGUGAAGCGGCAACAGCUCAAAUUUGAAAUCUGGCCCCCCCGGGGCCCGAGUUGUAAUUUGUAGAGGAUGCUUCGGGUGCGGCGCCGGUCUAAGUUCCUUGGAACAGGACGUCAUAGAGGGUGAGAAUCCCGUUCAUGACCGGCGACCUAGCCCGUGUGAAGCUCCUUCGACGAGUCGAGUUGUUUGGGAAUGCAGCUCUAAAUGGGUGGUAAAUUCAUCUAAAGCUAA